ensembl:lncRNA
CCUCAGGAUUUAGGGGGGCCCAGGGAGGGUCCUGGGGGUUCCAAGGCGGUGUUGGGGGGCUGGGGAGAGCUGGAGGGGUAGGGGGGGUCCCGGGGGGUUCCCAGGGGUCGUGGGGAGGGGGCAAGGGGGUGUGUGGAGCCUUGGGGGGCCCCUUCGGGAGUUGGGGGGGUCCCGGGGGUCCCAGAGUGUGUGGGGGGUCCAAGGGGUUUGGGAGGCCUUGGGAGGGCGCUCAGGAGCUGGGGGGCUCCUUGGCAGGGGUCCUGGAGAGGUCCAGGGGGGUGUUGGGGGGAGCCUGGGGGCAUAGGGGGUGCUGGGGGGGGGGGACAGGGGCUGGCGUUGGUUUGAGGAUGGGCCUGGGGGGGCACUCAGGAGCUGGGGAGGGAUCCGGGGGGGGGUCCAGGGGGCUGUUUGGGGUCCAUGGGGAGCCCAGGGCGUGGGGAGGGCCCUGAGAAGGGGUCGGGGGUGGGGUCCAGGGGGGUAUUGGGGGUGUGGGGGGAGCCCAGGGACUGGGGUGAUUCCGGAGGGGGGUCCCGGCGUGGGGUCUAAGGCAGCGCAGGGACUCCGGGGCGCCGUUAUGGUGCCGGGGGGACAUGGCGGUGCGGGGAGGGCCGGGCCGGGCUCCCCCUCCCCCCUUCGCCUCACCGCUCGCGCCUUUCGCUUUCGCUUCUCCCAACCUGCCUCGGUGGGAUCUGCCUGGCGCCCGGUGACGACCGAGACGGCGCCGGUCGCCAUUGGCGGGCGGCCCGAAGCGCAGCCAAUGGCCCCGCGGGGGCGCGGCGGGGUGGGGCGCGGCGCGGGGUAACGCGGCGCGCGCGGCCGAGUCGGAGCCGAGUGGUGGAGUUGGAGCCGGGGCGAGCGAUGGGGCCGGGGCCGAUACUGGCGCUGGUGCUGGUGCCGGCGCUGGCGGUGGCGCUGGUGCUGCUGCUGAGGAGCGGCGGGCCGAUGGCAAGCAAGGGGGACCCCUGGGCCACCCGAGGUGACGGGGCCCCGUUCUCUUCCAGAGCCCCAGAGCAACCUGCUGCCGAUCAACAACGGGGUAGUUGUCGCUGCGCUCGUCGUCGUUGCCGCCGUCGCCGGGUUUACGUUGCGGAAGAGGAGAUCGGCCCACGACGGGGAAUCCAGCAGUUCCGGAACAGAGAGCAACCCCGACACUUAAGCAYURAGGCAUUGAACWUGACUCARUGGGAUGUUCAAAAUGCUCCAUGACAGCCCAUAGGACUAUCACCAGCAGAAAUUCUCUUUGGGAGACAUUCAGCCAUUCCAGGGACCUAUACCCCAGCUAAGACCAACCUGUUGGAUGGGGGAUGAACGGCUGACCCG